GCCCGGCUGGCACAAUUGGUCAGCGCGUGAGACUCUUAAUCUCAAGGUUGUGGGUUCGAGUCCCACGUCGGGCU